CGCUGGCGGCGUGCUUAACACAUGCAAGUCGAACGAUGAAGCCUAGCUUGCUAGGUGGAUUAGUGGCGCACGGGUGAGUAAUAUAUAGAUAACGUGCCUCUUAGUCUGGGAUAGCCAUUGGAAACGAUGAUUAAUACUAGAUACUCCUUCUCUAUCAAAUUAGAGUCGGGAAAGUUUUUCGCUAAGAGAUCGGUCUAUAUCCCAUCAGCUAGUUGGUAGUGUAAGAGACUACCAAGGCAAUGACGGGUAGCGGGUUUGAGAGGAUGAUCCGCCACACUGGUACUGAGACACGGACCAGACUCCUACGGGAGGCAGCAGUGAGGAAUAUUGCACAAUGGAGGAAACUCUGAUGCAGCAACGCCGCGUGGAGGAUGACGCAUUUCGGUGUGUAAACUCCUUUUAUAUGUCAAGAAAAUGACGGUAGCAUAUGAAUAAGCACCGGCUAACUCCGUGCCAGCAGCCGCGGUAAUACGGAGGGUGCAAGCGUUAUUCGGAAUCACUGGGCGUAAAGGACGCGUAGGCGGGAUGCCAAGUCUGAUGUGAAAUCCUAUGGCUUAACCAUAGAACUGCAUUGGAAACUGGUAACCUAGAGUAUGGGAGGGGGAGAUGGAAUUAGUGGUGUAGGGGUAAAAUCCGUAGAUAUCACUAGGAAUACCGAAAGCGAAGGCGAUCUCCUGGAACAAUACUGACGCUAAGGCGUGAAAGCGUGGGGAGCAAACGGGAUUAGAUACCCCGGUAGUCCACGCCCUAAACGAUGUUCACUAGUCGUCGGGAUGCUAGUCAUCUCGGUGAUGCACUUAACAGAUUAAGUGAACCGCCUGGGGAGUACGGUCGC
rnacentral:rRNA from 1 species